UCGGAUAUGGUGUAAUGGUUAACAUUACCGCCUCUCAUCGAUGAAUUUCGCGGUAGCUCGGGGUUCGAUUCCCCGUAUCCGAA